rnacentral:misc_RNA from 1 species
GAUGAAGAACGUAGCGAAAUGCGAUAAGUAAUGUGAAUUGCAGAAUUCAGUGAAUCAUCGAAUCUUUGAACGCACAUUGCGCCCGCCAGUAUUCUGGCGGGCAUGCCUGUUCGAGCGUCAUUUCAACCAUCAAGCCCCAGGCUUGUGUUGGGGACCUGCGGCUGCCGCAGGCCCUGAAAACCAGUGGCGGGCUCGCUGUCACACCGGGCGUAGUAGAUUUUAUCUCGCUCAGGGCGUGCUGCGGGUUCCGGCCGUUAAAAAGCCUUUUUUACCCAAGGUUGACCUCGGAUCAGGUAGGAAGAACCGCUGAACUUAAGCAUAUCAAUAAGCGGAGGA